CCUUUCAUGAUCAUAAUGUACUGAAUCUCUGAAACUCAUGCCUGUCAGCUUGCAGCAGUGGCCCUCGGAAGUGAACCAACUCCUUCUGAGAUGGAACUUCCAUGGCUUCCGUUCCUAGCUGCACGCGUGUGGCAACCAGAUCACGCCACUUCCGCCAUCUGCACUCUGUGAAAGCUCACAAUGUCCAAACCAGGAAGCCCAGCUUGAUGCAGCAUGCCUGUAGCUCCCUGUCAUCACAUCUAUUUCUGACUUGCAAGAACCACUGUGCCUGCACUGCGCUCCAGCCCUGUGACUGCACCUGCUUCUUCAGCUGCUAUGCUGCUUCCCCAUCAGCUGCAACAACUGUGUUACCAGGGUUGAAUUUUUGAGAGAGUCUCAUAUCACUCGUAUCACCUGAGUUUUCCUUUUUUAAUAUUUCAUAUAUAUAUAUGUAUGUAUAUAAACUUUUUUCAUUUUUUGA